GACGAACGCCGGCGGCGCGCUUAACACAUGCAAGUCGAACGGAAGGGCCCUGCGCUUGUGGGGUGCUCGAGUGGCGAACAGGUGAGUACCACGUACGUAACCUGCCCUGGACUAUGGGAUCACUUCAGGAAACUGGGGCUAAUAACGGAUAGGAGCUCCUGCUGCAUGGUGGUGGUUGGACAGUUUCGGCGGUUGGGGAUGGACUCGCGGCGUAUCAGCUUGUUGGUUGGGUAGUGGCAUACCAAGGCUUUGACGGGUAGCCGACCUGAGAGGGUGACCGGCCACAUUGGGACUGAGAUACGGCCCAGACUGCUACGGGAGGCAGCAGUGGGGAAUUUUGCACACUGGGCGCAAGCCUGAUGCCGCAACGCCGCGUGCGGGAUGACGCCCUCCGGGUUGUAAACCGCGUUCGCCUGUGCCGAAGCGUGACUGACGGUAAUGGGUAAAGAAGCACCGGUUAACUACGUG
rnacentral:rRNA from 1 species